rnacentral:rRNA from 1 species
UACGGAGGGUGCUAGCGUUGUUCGGAAUCACUGGGCGUAAAGCGCGUGUAGGCGGUCCGUUAAGUCUGAUGUGAAAGCCCGGGGCUCAACCCCGGAAGUGCAUUGGAAACUGACGAACUCGAGUCCCGGAGAGGAGGGUGGAAUUCCUGGUGUAGCGGUGAAAUGCGCAGAUAUCAGGAAGAACACCCGUGGCGAAGGCGGUUCUCUGGGACGGUACUGACGCUGAGACGCGAAAGCGUGGGGAGCGAACAGG